UUCCAAAUGAGUCCUGACUAUGGUUACAGACAUUUCUCUUCUACAGUGAAGGAAAGAGAAGGAACAAAUGAGAGUUGAGAGGAAAUGAGAUGUGCUUCAUUGAUAGAAGAUGUUUUAGUUCCUGUGAAGUGGCGAGAAUAUUGUUGCAGGUGUUGCAUAUGGAUACAGGUAAUACUGAAUAUUUUCAUUUUUAAUAAAAGUAUGGAGAAUUUCCCUUUACGUUUUUCCUAUGUGUGUGAAACACUGAACUAUGAAGCAUGAUUCAGGGACAGACCUUGUUAGAACAUCUAGUCCAAGCUCUUGGCUGUUAAGUCCUGCUUAAACAACUUUUUUUUUUUUUUUUCUCUAAGGUUCUGGGCAUAGUUAAGGUCAUCAAGAGUUAAGUUCUUUAAUUAAUUGGUAUUUGGGAAUAAUAUUAGGAAGACUUUAUAGAUACUUGUAUCACUAAAACACUACUGUAGCCAUGAUAGAUAGUCUCUACCACCUUACUUACCUGGAUAGGGAUCUUUCAUUGUUUUUGUAGUAUCUCAUUAAUACUGACUGACAUAAAACUGUCUCAGGAGUAUCGCCCACAGCAACUUUCUCAGAACCAUGAACAUCAUAAAAUUUGGAAUUUAAAAUCUACUAUAUGCAAAAUCCUAUUGACCCAAACACUUUUCAGCACAAAAUCAGAAACCAUCUUGAACACCCCAAAGUUGUUGAUUGUAUCUGGCAGUCUGUUUUUUUGCCACACCUAUCCAAGAAAAACUGAUCUUGCCAUCUGCCUUAGAAACUCAUAGAGGACUUACACCAAAGGCAUUUUUCCAGACAGUUAAGUCAUAUUUGUGAAUAAGCCAACUUCCCAUCACUUGGGUGCAAGGAAGAACGUAUCACAAAACUUCCAAGCAACCGUUGCACAUGACCUGAUGCUGAAAUCUCUGUUAGAAGCCACUGGCAAUUACAAUUUAUGUAGAAGAAAAUGAGGCUUAAAAAAACAUUACCCUGGAUUCCCUCUCCCACUUCCAACCACUCAACCCAAGCAAAUACAUCACUAGAAAUGAAUUUUCUGCAGAUCAACAAAUGUUAAAUGUAACAGCCUUGUAAGAAUGACAUUGCAGUAAAAUUUCUGCUCUAAGGUUAAUUGUUUCAGCCAUACACAAGAAUAUUUUUUUUUGUGAUAUAUUUCAUUCACCACUUCUUUGGAAAGUAUGAGUGAAAAUGGACAACCUCUAUGCAGCAGAACACUUUCACAUGGGCAAUUGAUAAAGAACAAAUGAGUAGCUAUUUGCAUAAAUAGGGUUUCAAAAAUAUUCACUCCAACUUCGACCUUUCUGUCCUGAUUCUUUGAUGAUGAUUUACAGAAAAUAACUGCAAAAAAUAUAAAGAAUAAAUUUUGUAACAUGAAUAAAUAAAAUUGAAUG
rnacentral:lncRNA from 1 species